AGCAUAUCAAUAAGCGGAGGAAAAGAAACUAACAAGGAUUCCCCUAGUAACUGCGAGUGAAGCGGGAAGAGCUCAAAUUUAAAAUCUGGCGGCCUCUGGUCGUCCGAGUUGUAGUCUGGAGAAGCGUUUUCCGUGUUGGACCGUGUAUAAGUCUCUUGGAACAGGGCGUCAUAGAGGGUGAGAAUCCCGUCUUUGACACGGACUACCAAUGCUUUGUGAUGCGCUCUCAAAGAGUCGAGUUGUUUGGGAAUGCAGCUCAAAAUGGGUGGUAAAUUCCAUCUAAAGCUAAAUAUAGGCGAGAGACCGAUAGCGAACAAGUACCGUGAGGGAAAGAUGAAAAGCACUUUGGAAAGAGAGUUAAACAGUACGUGAAAUUGCUGAAAGGGAAACGCUUGAAGUCAGUCGCGUCUGCCAGGACUCAGCCUCGCUUCUGCUUGGUGCACUUUCUGGUUGGAUGGGCCAACAUCAAUUUUGACCGUUGGAGAAAGGCUUUGGGAAUGUGGCACCUUCGGGUGUGUUAUAGCCCUUUGUCGUAUACGACGGUUGGGAUUGAGGACCGCAGCACGCCUUCAUGGCCGGGGUUCGCCCACGUACGUGCUUAGGA
rnacentral:rRNA from 1 species